rnacentral:rRNA from 1 species
CCUACGGGUGGCUGCAGUGAGGAAUAUUCCGCAAUGGACGAAAGUCUGACGGAGCGACGCCGCGUGGAUGAAGAAGGCCGAAAGGUUGUAAAGUUCUUUUGUUGGGGAAGAAUAACCAUGGGAGGGAAUGCCCGUGGGAUGACAUGAACCGACGAAUAAGCCCCGGCUAACUACGUGCCAGCAGCCGCGGUAACACGUAGGGGGCAAGCGUUGUUCGGAAUUACUGGGCGUAAAGGGCAUGUAGGCGGCCUUGUAAGCUUGGCGUGAAAGUCCACGGCUUAACCGUGGGAUUGCGUUGAGAACUGCGAGGCUUGAGUGACGGAGAGGGAGCUAGAAUUCCUGGUGUAGGGGUGGAAUCUGUAGAGAUCAGGAAGAAUACCAAUGGCGAAGGCAAGCUCCUGGCCGAUGACUGACGCUGAGGUGCGAAAGUGUGGGGAUCAAACAGGAUUAGAUACCCCUGUAGUC